rnacentral:rRNA from 1 species
AGAGUUUGAUCCUGGCUCAGAACGAACGCUGGCGGCGUGCUUAACACAUGCAAGUCGCGUGCGCAGUUUCCGUAGCAAUACGGGGAUGGGCGCACGGCGCACGGGUGCGUAACACGUGGGCAAUCUGCCCUCCGAUGGGGAAUACCCCCGCGAAAGCGGGACUAAUUCCGCAUAACAUUCCUUGGAUUAACUUUCGAGGAUUCAAAGCAGCAAUGCGUCGGAGGAGGAGCCCGCGCCCGAUUAGCUAGUUGGUGAGGUAACGGCUCACCAAGGCAAUGAUCGGUAGCUGGUCUGAGAGGAUGGCCAGCCACACUGGAACUGAGACACGGUCCAGACUCCUACGGGAGGCAGCAGUGGGGAAUCUUGCACAAUGGGCGAAAGCCUGAUGCAGCGACGCCGCGUGGGGGAUGAAGCUUUUCGGAGUGUAAACCCCUUUCGACUGGGACGAAUGCCUCGCAAGAGGAGUGACGGUACCAGUAUAAGAAGCCCCGGCUAACUACGUGCCAGCAGCCGCGGUAAGACGUAGGGGGCCAGCGUUGUUCGGAAUUACUGGGUGUAAAGGGUUCGUAGGCGGUGUGGCAAGUCGGGAGUGAAAUCUCUGGGCUCAACCCAGAGACUGCUUCCGAAACUGCUGUGCUUGAGUGUGAGAGAGGCUCGUGGAAUUGCAGGUGUAGCGGUGAAAUGCGUAGAUAUCUGCAGGAACACCCGUGGCGAAAGCGGCGAGCUGGAUCACUACUGACGCUGAGGAACGAAAGCUAGGGGAGCAAACAGGAUUAGAUACCCUAGUAGUCC